rnacentral:misc_RNA from 1 species
UACGAAGGGUGCAAGCGUUGCUCGGAAUUACUGGGCGUAAAGCGUACGCAGGCGGUUCUGUAAGUCGGGUGUGAAAGCCCGGGGCUCAACCCCGGUAGGUCAUUCGAAACUACAGGACUUGAGUACGGGAGAGGGGUGUGGAAUUCCCAGUGUAGAAGUGAAAUUCGUAGAUAUUGGGAGGAACACCGGUGGCGAAGGCGACACCCUGGCCCGAGACUGACGCUCAUGUACGAAAGCGUGGGGAGCAAACAGG